rnacentral:rRNA from 1 species
GACGAACGCUGGCGGCGUGCUUAAAACAUGCAAGUCGAACGAAGUGGCGAACGGGUGAGUAACGCGUAAUCAACCUGCCCUUCAGAGGGGGACAACAGUUGGAAACGACUGCUAAUACCGCAUACUGAAGGAGGGGCUUGCGUCUGAUUAGCUCGGUGGAGGGGUAACGGCCCACCAAGGCGAUGAUCAGUAGCCGGUCUUGGAGGGUGAACCGCCACAUUGGGACUGAGACACCGCCCAGACUCCGACGGGAGGCAGCAGUGGGGAAUCUUCCGAAAUGGACGAAAGUCUGGCGGAGCAACGCCGCGUGAGUUAUGACGGCCUUCGGGUUGUAAAGCUCUGUUAAUCGGGACGCGGUACCGGAAUAGAAAGCCACGGCUAACUACGUGCCAGCAGCCGCGGUAAUUC